CGCACGGGUGAGUAACACGUGAGCAACCUGCCCCCGAAUCGGGGAUAGCCCCGGGAAACCGGGAUUAAUACCCGAUACGGUCGGCCGGCCGCAUGGCCGGCGGACCAAAGAUUUUAUCGUUCGGGGAUGGGCUCGCGUCCCAUUAGCUGGUUGGCGGGGCAACGGCCCGCCAAGGCGAAGACGGGUAGGUGGUCUGAGAGGAUGGUCACCCACACUGGGACUGAGACACUGCCCAGACUCCUACGGGAGGCUGCAGUCGAGAAUCUUCCGCAAUGGACGCAAGUCUGACGGAGCGAUGCCGCGUGAGGGAUGACGGCCUUCGGGUUGUAAACCUCUGUCACCGGGGACGAAGAAUUGACGGUACCCGGAGAGGAAGCCACGGCUAACUACGUGCCAGCAGCCGCGGUAAUACGUAGGUGGCGAGCGUUAUUCGGAUUUACUGGGCGUAAAGGGUCCGCAGGGGGUUCGGCAAGUCCGGUGUGAAAGCCCGCGGCUCAACCGCGGAACGGCACUGGAAACUGUCGGGCUUGAGAGCGCGAGAGGAAGGCGGAAUUCCAGGUGUAGCGGUGGAAUGCGUGGAUAUCUGGAAGAACACCGGCGGCGAAGGCGGCCUUCUGGCGCGUUUCUGACCCUGAGGGACGAAGGCGUGGGUAGCGAACAGGAUUAGAUACCCUGGUAGUCCACGCUGUAAACGUUGCGCGCUCGACGCGGGAUGAGCCGUUCCGGCUUUUUCCGUGUCCAAGCCAACGCGUUAAGCGCACCGCCUGGGGACUACGGCCGCAAGGCUAAAACUCAAAGGAGUUGACGGGGGCCCGCACAAGCGGUGGAGCAUGUGGCUUAAUUCGAGGCAACGCGAAGAACCUUACC
rnacentral:rRNA from 1 species